AUUGAACGCUGGCGGCAGGCCUAACACAUGCAAGUCGAGCGAGCGGCGGACGGGUGAGUAAUGUAUGGGGACUGCCCGAUAGAGCGGGAUAACUACUGGAAACGGUAGCUAAUACCGCAUACUAUCGGAUAACCCAUGUGGGGGUAGCUAGUAGGUGAGGUAAUGGCUCACCUAGGCGACGAUCCCUCGCGGGUCUGAGAGGUUGAUCAUCCACACUGGGACUGAGACACGGCCCAGACGCCGACGGAGGCAGCAGUGGGGAAUAUUGCACAAGGGGCGCAAGCCUGAUGCAGCCAUGCCGCGUGUAUGAGGAGGUCCUGAGGGUUGUAAAGUACUUUGAGACGGGAGGCGGUACCGACAGAGGAAGCACCGGCUAACUCCGUGCCAGCAGCCGCGGUAAUAC
rnacentral:rRNA from 1 species